rnacentral:rRNA from 1 species
UACGGAGGGGGCAAGCGUUGUUCGGAAUGAUUGGGCGUAAAGCGUACGUAGGCGGCUUUGCAAGUUAGCGGUGAAAGCCCGGGGCUCAACUCCGGAAUUGCCUUUAAAACUGCAUCGCUAGAAUUGUGGAGAGGUAAGUGGAAUUCCGAGUGUAGAGGUGAAAUUCGUAGAUAUUCGGAAGAACACCAGUGGCGAAGGCGACUUACUGGACACAUAUUGACGCUGAGGUGCGAAAGCGUGGGGAGCAAACAGG